AGUGAACGCUGGCGGUAGGCCUAACACAUGCAAGUCGAACGGCAGCACAGUAAGAGCUUGCUCUUACGGGUGGCGAGUGGCGGACGGGUGAGGAAUACAUCGGAAUCUACUUUUUCGUGGGGGAUAACGUAGGGAAACUUACGCUAAUACCGCAUACGACCUACGGGUGAAAGCAGGGGAUCUUCGGACCUUGCGCGAUUGAAUGAGCCGAUGUCGGAUUAGCUAGUUGGCGGGGUAAAGGCCCACCAAGGCGACGAUCCGUAGCUGGUCUGAGAGGAUGGUCAGCCACACUGGAACUGAGACACGGUCCAGACUCCUACGGGAGGCAGCAGUGGGGAAUAUUGGACAAUGGGCGCAAGCCUGAUCCAGCCAUACCGCGUGGGUGAAGAAGGCCUUCGGUUUGUAAAGCCCUUUUGUUGGGAAAGAAAAGCAGCAGGUUAAUACCCCGCUGUUCUGACGGUACCCAAAGAAUAAGCACCGGCUAACUUCGUG
rnacentral:rRNA from 1 species